GAUGAACGCUGGCGGCGUGCCUAAUACAUGCAAGUCGAGCGAACGGACGAGAAGCUUGCGUCUCUGAUGUUAGCGGCGGACGGGUGAGUAACACGUGGAUAACCUACCUAUAAGACUGGGAUAAUUUCGGGAAACCGGAGCUAAUACCGGAUAAUAUUUUGAACCGCAUGGUUCAAAAGUGAAAGACGGUCUUGCUGUCACUUAUAGAUGGAUCCGCGCUGCAUUAGCUAGUUGGUAAGGUAACGGCUUACCAAGGCAACGAUGCAUAGCCGACCUGAGAGGGUGAUCGGCCACACUGGAACUGAGACACGGUCCAGACUCCUACGGGAGGCAGCAGUAGGGAAUCUUCCGCAAUGGGCGCAAGCCUGACGGAGCAACGCCGCGUGAGUGAUGAAGGUCUUCGGAUCGUAAAACUCUGUUAUUAGGGAAGAACAGAUGUGUAAGUAACUGUGCACAUCUUGACGGUACCUAAUCAGAAAGCCACGGCUAACUACGUG
rnacentral:rRNA from 1 species